UGGGGGAUAUUGCACAAUGGAGGAAACUCUGAUGCAGCAACGCCGCGUGAGGGAAGAAGGUCUUCGGAUUGUAAACCUUAGUAGUCAGGGACGAAAGAAAUGACGGUACCUGAAGAGUAAGCUCCGGCUAACUACGUGCCAGCAGCCGCGGUAAUACGUAGGGAGCGAGCGUUGUCCGGAUUUACUGGGUGUAAAGGGUGCGUAGGCGGGACUGCAAGUCAGACGUGAAAUACCGAGGCUUAACUUCGGGGCUGCGUUUGAAACUGUGGUUCUUGAGUGAAGUAGAGGCAGGCGGAAUUCCUAGUGUAGCGGUGAAAUGCGUAGAUAUUAGGAGGAACACCAGUGGCGAAGGCGGCCUGCUGGGCUUUAACUGACACUGAGGCAUGAAAGCGUGGGGAGCAAACA
rnacentral:rRNA from 1 species